GACGAACGCUGGCGGCGUGCUUAACACAUGCAAGUCGAGCGGUAAGGCCCUUUCGGGGUACGACGAGCGGCGAACGGGUGAGUAACACGUGGGUGACCUGCCCUCAGCUCUGGGAUAAGCCUGGGAAACCGGUCUAAUACUGGAUAUGACUCCAUGACGCAUGUUGUGGGGUGAAAGCCUUGUGCGGCUGAGGAUGGGGCCCGCGGCCUAUCAGCUUGGUUGGUGGGGUGANGGCCUACCAAGGCGACGACGGGUAGCCGGCCUGAGA
rnacentral:rRNA from 1 species